rnacentral:rRNA from 1 species
AGGACGAACGCUGGCGGCGUGCUUAACACAUGCAAGUGGAGCGACGAACCAGGGCUUGCCCUGGGGCAGAGCCGCGAACGGGUGAGUAACACGUGGGUUACCUGCCUCGAUGUCCGGGACAACCCGAGGAAACUCGGGCUAAUACCGGAUGUGCCCGCAAGGGGAAAGGAAGCUUCGGCCUCCGCAUCGAGAUGGGCCCGCGGCCCAUUAGCUUGUUGGUGAGGUAACGGCUCACCAAGGCUUCGAUGGGUAGCUGGUCUGAGAGGACGAUCAGCCACACUGGGACUGAGACACGGCCCAGACUCCUACGGGAGGCAGCAGUGGGGAAUCUUGCGCAAUGCGCGAAAGCGUGACGCAGCAACGCCGCGUGGGGGAGAAGGCUUUCGGGUUGUAAACCCCUUUCAGUUGGGACGAAGCUUCUCCGGUGAAUAGCCGGACGGAGUGACGGUACCUUCACAAGAAGCACCGGCUAACUACGCGCCAGCAGCCGCGGU